rnacentral:rRNA from 1 species
GCAAGUCGAACGGCAGCGGGGACUUCGGUCCGCCGGCGAGUGGCGAACGGGUGAGUAAAGUAUCGGAACGUACCUUUCAGUGGGGGAUAACGUAGCGAAAGUUACGCUAAUACCGCAUAUUCUGUGAGCAGGAAAGCAGGGGAUCGCAAGACCUUGCGCUGAUUGAGCGGCCGAUAUCAGAUUAGCUAGUUGGUGAGGUAAAGGCUCACCAAGGCGACGAUCUGUAGCGGGUCUGAGAGGAUGAUCCGCCACACUGGAACUGAGACACGGUCCAGACUCCUACGGGAGGCAGCAGUGGGGAAUUUUGGACAAUGGGGGCAACCCUGAUCCAGCCAUGCCGCGUGAGUGAAGAAGGCCUUCGGGUUGUAAAGCUCUUUCGGCCGGGAAGAAAUCGUAUGGGUUAAUACCCUGUGCGGAUGACGGUACCGGCAUAAGAAGCACCGGCUAACUACGUGCCAGCAGCC